GACGGGGGAUGCGAGCGUUAUCCGGAAUGAUUGGGCGUAAAGGGUCCGCAGGUGGCCCGGUCAGUCCGCUGUCAAAGCCUGGGGCUCAACCCUGGAGAGGCGGCGGAAACUACCAAGCUGGAGUACGGUAGGGGCAGAGGGAAUUUCCGGUGGAGCGGUGAAAUGCGUAGAGAUCGGAAAGAACACCAACGGCGAAAGCAACUCUGCUGGGCCGACACUGACACUGAGAGACGAAAGCUAGGGGAGCGAAUGGG
rnacentral:rRNA from 1 species